UACGAAGGGGGCUAGCGUUGCUCGGAAUCACUGGGCGUAAAGGGUGCGUAGGCGGGUUUUUAAGUCAGAGGUGAAAUCCUGGAGCUCAACUCCAGAACUGCCUUUGAUACUGGAAAUCUUGAGUAUGGGAGAGGUGAGUGGAACUGCGAGUGUAGAGGUGAAAUUCGUAGAUAUUCGCAAGAACACCAGUGGCGCAAGCGGCUAACUGGCCGAGACCUGACGCUGAGACGCGACGGCGUGGGGAGCAAACCGG
rnacentral:rRNA from 1 species